rnacentral:rRNA from 1 species
UCGCCUCAACUCAUGCGAGACUACCCCCUAAAUUUAAGCAU